ensembl:lncRNA
CUAAGGGCCCACAUUCCAAAGGAUUUACCUUUGGAAUUUACCUUUGUUAGGUCACACACAGAGAAGGACAAGAGUGGCCAUUACAUAGGCUAAAGAUAUCCCAACACAGUUGGGGGUCUAGACUUGCAACAUUUCAACCUCCUCUCAUCACUGAAGUUCUCAUCUGUCCCCCAGCCUUUCUCUAGGAAUUCUUUCUUGUUCCCAUCUCUCAGAGACUCCAUACCAGAACAUACGGGAGGGAGGAGCAGGAAGUCCCUGAUUCGAAGGAUGCUCUGAGCCCAGCCUCCUUCUCCAUCCCUUCCUCCACCCGCUCCCUCAACUUCAGGACCUAUGACUGGAGACAGAGACCGUGCUCCAGACUUUGCAAUCAGAGAUGUUUUCACCCAAAGGUAAUGGACAUGCAGGACUUAGAAAGUCAAAGCUGGUCUCGGCUGGGGAGGUAAUCACACAGUCAAACUGGUUCAGCCAGACAGCCUGCCAAUUCUGGGUUUCUGCUCCGGGCUUCUAAAGGUGACCAAGCAAGUCCUCGGAUAAGAAUGCAAGUGAGCAAAAUAACAAAUUCUUCUGAUACGACCUUUUCUUUCUCUGAAACACGAUCUCACUGCCUAGCUCUUGCUAGCGUGAAACUCACUCUGUAGACCAGGCUAGCCUCUAACUCACGGAGAUCCGCCUGCUUCUUCCUCCCAAGCGAUGGGCUUUUGUUAGGAUAUAAUACCUUAGUCCUCAAAGUCUCCAGGAAGACAGACAGCAGAGGCCUGGACCUAGCUGUCCCUGGAGAAGCUGCAGGACAGGUGCAGCUAUAAUGGCCUGUGCAAGAAGGAAGCUUCCUGGAGCACACAUGCGGCCAGAAGCAUCAGAAGGGCCCACUGUGGUCCGGGCCAGCUCCUGUUACAAGUCAGAUGUUGGAGGGAUUUGAGAGAGUCACUUCAUUCCUUCUGACUCUCGUUGGUUCUAUCACACAAGCGGCUUCCAAACCUACCUUUAAGGUUCAGGCACAAAAGCUUCAGGAAGUCAAGCGUCUGUUUUCAAGAUGGGUAUAAAGGACCGUACUAGCUUGCAGAGAAAUGGCUGCACUUUCAUAGACACAGAAGAAGGCUCCUACCCAACAGCCAGGGGUCAGAUCUCCAAAACGAGCCCUACAAUCAGCCUUCCAGAGUUGGCCUGGAGUGCUCACCCUUCGCUCGCCUCGUUAGAAGAAUCCCAUGCACACGCUGAAGCCAGCUGAGAAUCCCUGCUAAGCUUUCGGGCAGCUGGGAGAAGCAAAGUUGGAUCCCUGCCUAAAUCCCUGGGAGAGCCCACGCUCUGUUGCCAGCACCUUGACUGGAACAUCAAUAUUGGACAUCUGGCCUCGGACCUAGGAAAGAACCAAUCUACACGAGCCAGUAUUGUCGCCAGCGUGUGAACAAAGAGAGCCGACUCCUGGGUAGAGCAGCACACUCCAAGGCAUAGGCAUGGGACAGAGCCAGGUAUGGACCACAUCCAUGUCACCUUCUAAAAAUGCCUUACUGGCUCCAACGAACCGACACAUGGCUCGUUAGCCUUCAGGAAGAAUCUAGAAAUGCUGCCCCAGUAACAUUCAGCAAGCAGAGGGAGCUCUCGGCCUGUCCAUCGACAGUGACACUGUCACCAUGGCGGCCCUCUACCCUCCAUCCUCUUCAGCAUUGAAGCUGUUACGGCUUUAAUGUAAGACAUCUCAGGUCCACGCGAUGGGACAGUCUCCACCUUGUGGCACUGCUUUGGGAGGUUGUGAACCGUGACAUGAUGGGGUCUGGCCGGAGGAUGUGGGUCACUAAAUAAACAGGCUUUGAGGUUUAACUAGUGGCUCCAAGUCAACUCCUCUGCCCUUGAUUUGCUGAGGUGUGAGCAAGCUCUUCCUGCCACAGAGCUGCCUGCCACCGCGACGCCUCCACCAUGUCUCCUAAAACAAGAUAAGCCUCUUCUAAACUGCUUCAAAGCCCUUGACAACUGCACCAGGCAAAAGAGCUAUGUAAGGAAAAGCCGUAGCUGGCCUUCCCUAAGGCAUCUCUCAUUUCACUGUAACCCCAGAACUGCUGCUAGCAUCCCGAAGUGUGCAUUAUGUGCCUACCCCGGUGGUGCUCCUGACAAGCUGCUACUAGAAACCAGACAUGGAGGAUUAUGGGUAAUGGAGGUUCUCAAUGAACACAUCACUCACCAUUCAAGUCUGAAAUACACCUCCACCUCCACACUUCACUAUAAUACCAACCCAAUUAAUAACGAUCGGUGGGAAUUAUGAAACAUCUGUUGAACAUACUGGUGUGGAGACCAGGAUUCUACUCAGGAAAGGAUGCAGUGACAGCUACCAGAAGGGCACAGUACCCUGUGAAAUAAUCACCGAAGACUUGAAAUGAUACUCAACUUGUGAUGCCUGAUCACGAGGGACAUGCAAAUCAAGCCACAAUGUGAUAUCAUUCCAGUCACUCAGACGGCCAUCAUCAGAGCACAGGGGGCG